ensembl:lincRNA
AUGGCUGCUUGGGUUACGGCUCUGGCUGUGGUUGUGGGUCUGUCCGAGAUCAAGGUCAGGGCCCCAGGGUGCGGCUGGCACUGUGUGUUGGGAACCAGGCCUUGCUCUGGGGCCAGGACUGACACUGAGGAGAGGAAGGGCAGCGCCUCGACUGUGAAUGACCGUACACGGCCCAGUGCUGUUAACCUGACACUCGGCGACACAGAGCCCAGAGCAGGUGUCUGUCCCCAAGGGGGCUCCACCUGUGCCCUGGGCUCGGUCUCCCCAAGCAGAGGAAGAGGAAUCAUCUGGAGGGCAAGAGGAGCGGCUUUGCAGGGGGAAAGAGGGCUUAGGAUCAGCCCCUCAUCACCAACUCCGGGGAGCAUCGCAGGCCUCAUUUCAGCAGAGCCGGCAGCACAGGACAGAGGAAAAACAACCACAAAGAACUGGCCACAAGGACCCCAGAAGUCAUACUCUUGUUCUUGUUUGUUUGUUUUAUGUUUUUUGUUUCUUUGGUACCGGGCAUCAAAAAAGUCAUGCUUUUCUGCUGUACAGAGGAAAAGACAGGCUGGGGGCUUGGCAGGAACAUUCAAGAACAGCAGUCCCUACGCUGCUGCAGAGGCACACGCUCACCCAGACGGGAGGGAGCAUCCCUCAUGCCUCUCCUCUCCUCUGCUGCCUGUACUCUUUCUGGGCCGUCACCCACCUGGCCCAGGCUGGGUUCCAGGACGUGACAGCCUCUGCCCGCUCCUCCUCACCCCUGCAUCUUUGCACAAGUUCAGCCCCUCCUUGGUCCACAAGGAGCACUGCUCUCCACCCUGCAGGCCAGCUCACGAGAGGAAGAGGAAGAAAAACCGCAGACACCAGCAAAGCAACCGCACACCUGCCACUGUUUCCCCUGGUGGAGUUUCCCUCUGCCAUGGAAUGCAGAGCCAGUCUGGCAAGGAAAUCAAUCUGGGGACGGGGCAGUGUGGCUUGGGGUGACUGGGGCCCAGGGGUACCGGUGGGCAGUAUAUUGCUGAACUCAGUGCCAUUAAUUCAUUCACCAUCAACCUUGAAAAGUGUCAGAGGGGUAGAGAGAUCCUGGUCUAGUGCUGCUGGCUUGCUGUGUGACCUUGAACCUGUUGCUUGCCAUCUGUGAGCUGUCAUCAAUGACCUACGAGACUUGGCUCCUUCAAUAAUUCUCAACUUUAGGUGCACUGGGGAUCUUUCAAAACGUGCCCUUAGUUAGGUCCCUGCAGUGUAUGCCUGGACACAUCACUUUGCUGCUCUGUGCCUCAGUGUCUCCAGCCGCGCCUUCCCUGCAAGGACUGAAUGACCUGGUGUGUAAAGUUGCCCCACCUGCAGAGGAGGGACGAGGCACGCAGCUGUGGAAGCAGGGGCGGCAGCUUCAGACAGUGGCCCCUGCUGACCAUGUCCCCGGGCUCAGAGGGGCUGUGGUGAGCUUGACCGGGCUCUCCUGGCACAGAAGCUUCCCCACCUGCCCGGCCCCCGCUGCUGUGUCCUCCUGGGGUCCCACGAGCCAGUGUGGUGGGGGCCGCAGGCAGCCAGCUCCCCACGCGGUAGGGGCUGUGUGGAGAGAGGAGCGGCUGCCCAGCCACGCCUGCGAGCCCCACGGCCGUCCAUGCUGCAAUUCCACACUGGGAGGAGGUCCUCGGCCCUAGGGCUCCCCUGCCCUCCCCACUGCCUGCUGCGUCCCGUGGACCACAGAUGGCCGUGGCACUGGGGGUGACACCGAGAGCCUGCGGAGGAUCCCAUCUGGGUUCAAGUCCCAGCCCUGCCACUUGCUGGGGUGUGAUUUUCCCCUGAAACCUCGCACGGCAGGGGCAGACUGGUGGUGACUGGGCUGGGCCCACAGCUGGCUCCCUGCUAGAGCUGGGCCCUGUCUGUCAAGGAGGGCCAGGGUAUGUGACCUGGACUGGUGCACCUGCCUCCCCUGCUCCUCCCUCCUCUCUCUCUGCUUCCCUGCAGCCAUGCCAUGAGUCGCUCCCCUCUGCCAUGCUGUCCUGACUUGGAGCCGGCCCACAGCGGACUAAAACAUGAGCCAAAAUAAACCUCUCCUCUUUUAAGCUGUGGGUGUCCGGUAUUGUGUCUCCGUGAUGGGAAAGGUGACUAAGACAGGCUGUGUGACCUUAUGCAACAUACUCAACCUCUCUGUGUUCUAGUUUCCUCAGCCAUUAAAUGGGAAUGAAAAUUGAGUACCUACCCCCUGGGGCUGCCGGAGCACAGCCUGGCCGAGUCAGCCCCCCGAGAGCGCUGCUGGCUGCAGCCAUCGCAAUCACGUCGGGAUGAUCGGUGGGCACAGGGGUAUCCGCUUCAUGGCUACUGCACUUCAGCAGGGUGCUCCAUUGCCUGCCUCGACUGGGAUGCAGAUUUUUAGCCAAGGCAGCCCUCUGACUGAGUAGGGGUUGAGUGGGUGUCAAGAGGCCUCUUCUGCAGCAGGACGUCCAACUCAGAGAGCACAGCGAGCAUUCGAUGGCCUCACACACAGCCCGAGUGGCAGCUCAGGCAACAGAGUCACUCAGACUGUGCCCUCGACCUGAGGCUGGGGUGGGGAGGGCUUCUGGGGCCCCGUCUCUCCGGGUGGGCCUUGCACUCCACUCGCCACACCGGCCUCCAGCUGCUCAGCAAAACCCCACCCGUGUUCCUCAGGGCCAGGCUGUGGGCCCUGCGGGCUCAGGGUAUUCGUGCCUCACCGUGCUGGGCUGAGUCCUGUAGACGAGAUGCAGGGUGGACAGAAGUGGACUCUGCCCUCUGACCUG